AAGGGGCCAAGGGGCUUCCAG
rnacentral:snRNA from 1 species